GAUGAACGCUGGCGGCGUGCCUAAUACAUGCAAGUCGAGCGAACAGACGAGGAGCUUGCUCCUCUGACGUUAGCGGCGGACGGGUGAGUAACAAGUGGAUAACCUACCUAUAAGACUGGGAUAACUUCGGGAAACCGGAGCUAAUACCGGAUAAUAUAUUGAACCGCAUGGUUCAAUAGUGAAAGACGGUUUUGCUGUCACUUAUAGAUGGAUCCGCGCCGCAUUAGCUAGUUGGUAAGGUAACGGCUUACCAAGGCAACGAUGCGUAGCCGACCUGAGAGGGUGAUCGGCCACACUGGAGCUGAGACACGGUCCAGACUCCUACGGGAGGCAGCAGUAGGGAAUCUUCCGCAAUGGGCGAAAGCCUGACGGAGCAACGCCGCGUGAGUGAUGAAGGUCUUCGGAUCGUAAAACUCUGUUAUUAGGGAAGAACAAAUGUGUAAGUAACUAUGCACGUCUUGACGGUACCUAAUCAGAAAGCCACGGCUAACUACGUG
rnacentral:rRNA from 1 species